UACAGAGGUCCCAAGCGUUGUUCGGAUUCACUGGGCGUAAAGGGCGCGUAGGCGGUUCGUACAGUCAGACGUGAAAUUCCUGGGCUCAACCUGGGGGCUGCGUCCGAUACUGGUGGGCUUGAAUCCGGGAGAGGGAUGCGGAAUUCCAGGUGUAGCGGUGAAAUUCGUAGAUAUUCGCAAGAACACCAGUGGCGAAGGCGGCUCACUGGCCCGGUACUGACGCUGAGGUGCGAAAGCGUGGGGAGCAAACAGG
rnacentral:rRNA from 1 species